rnacentral:rRNA from 1 species
GCAAGUCGAGCGCUCACUUCGGUGGGAGCGGCGGACGGGUUAGUAACGCGUGGGAACAUACCCUUUACUACGGAAUAGCCUUUGGAAACGAUGAGUAAUACCAUAUACGCCCUUCGGGGGAAAGAUUUAUCGGUGAAGGAUUGGCCCGCGUAAGAUUAGAUAGUUGGUGGGGUAAUGGCCUACCAAGUCUACGAUCUAUAGCUGGUUUUAGAGGAUGAUC